rnacentral:piRNA from 1 species
UGAAGUGUUCCCGUAAAAC